UUUUUUUUUUUUUUUGAGUUUUAGCAGAGACAGGAUUUCACCAUGUUGGCCAGACUGGUCUUGAACUCCUGACCUCAAGUGAUCCACCUGCCUCGGCCUCCCAAAGUGCUGGGAUUACAGGCACAAGAUUUAUUUUUGAAGAGCACAGUCUCACAAUGUUUCAUAUGUCAGUUAGCACUUAGCUGCAAUAUUAAAAGUUUCCCUUGAUUAUCUCUGAUAUUUAUAUUUGGAGUCAAGAUAUAUUUGAAUUUUUUGACAGAAUUUUAGGAGACAUAGGCUGUAUAUAAAUCACUACAUGUUGAUGGCGAAUGAUCAUUACAGAAAAAUUAUUUUUAACAUAAUAACGUGAGAGUUAGUUCAAUGAGUACAAUCUUUGGAAAAAGAUUGGAGUCGACAUUUUAUUGUAUAACAAACGUCAACAUAUAUAUUUUUUAAAUUCUGUAUAUGGUAGCAAGAAUAUGCAGUUGGAAGGCAUGUAGAAAUAAUGAUUAGACUCAGAGACCUAAGAGUAAGACAGAUGUUGAAGGAUAACGACUUUGGUCUUUGCUCUGCAAUCCACAGCAUCUGACUAGAAGGUGAUUUUUUGAGCCUCAAAUCUUUGUCAGGAAAAUAUGAGAUGAUAAAAUACAGUAUUGAGCUGUCUCCCAAUGGUGAUGUAUGCGAUUAAGUAUUGUAACUAUGUUGCAACUGUAUCAACUUUCACACAAACAAACUAUGAUGGUUAAUGUUGAUAUACUGGGGUUUCAAAAGAGAGACAAAGAAUUAUUCGACAGUAGAUUCAAGUUCAAAUUUUAUAUAUGGUAGUCUGUCAGAAAAUGGAUUUUUUUUUUGUACAGCUGUACUAGAAGGCAUUCAUUCACAUUUAGCACAGACUGGGGAAGGAGGUUUCUCCCCAAAAGCUGCAAUAAGCAUUUAUCUACCAAGAAGGGCUAGGUACACAUAAGAAAGAUAAUCAAUGUGACCUAGUGGUUCCAGUGAAUUAAGAGAGAACAAAGCUCCUACUGUUUUUAAUUCACCAGGGUGACUUUUAUUUUCAAGGUUAUGAAAAUACCAGAAAAAAGUCUCAAAGGAUAAUUAAUUUCAACUUACGCUAACUAAAGGGAAUAUCUGCUGUGUAUCAUUUGAAGAGAGACUGUAGAUUAUUGAGUUAAAUGCAUUAGCAAUAAGAAAAGAAAAAGAAUAAUUGCACGUACAACAGGUAUUCCUUUUACUUCCCGGCUGGAAGCGGCCUUAUUGAAUGUGGGCUACUUUACUUUAACCUUCUAAGUAUGUAUUGACUGAUCGGAUAGCCACUAAAAAUAGAAGUCAUAUUAUGUCAGGGCUGAAAGCGAAAGAACAAAUCACUUAUUUUUCAGAUGAAGGAACUGAAGCCCAGGAAUGUCCCCAAACUGGAAUACAGUGGAGUUUGGACUAGAAACCCCACCCUGUAGGCUCCAGGUACAAGUACGGCGUCUGAACAGAACACGUGUUACUCUCAAGUGAGGUAAUAGUAAUUCAGGAAGUAAGCAAAGGGCUGUUACCAUUGCGAGCUCCUCAGAGUUUCAUCUGAUGUGCUGUGUCAAUGAAGACAUGGCCAACUGUUUCCAUAAUAACCACUAUGACCAGCUGUGGAAGAGUCAUGAAUGGUGUAUACAGUUUUUGUUUUUGUUUUUUUCAAUAAUACAACAAAACCCAGCAGAUACCACUUAUGGAACUCAGCACUCUGAGAUAAGCCAAUCAGAGAGGAAUAAAUAGUAUUUCCUACGUUGCUCACGUCAGCCAUAUGUGAUAAAACAUAAUUUUAUUUACUAUGAGAAAAUCUGCUUGAAAAAGAAAUAGUUGGACAACAGAUAUUCAUGCCUUUCUGGUUUGGACUGGAGCUUUUGUUUACUUGCAGGUAAACAACCAAUAAUUGGUUGACACAUGUUCUCACUUACUACUGGGGCCUAAACAUUGGAUAAAUAUGGACAUAAGGGAAGAACAGACUCGGGAGAAUACUAGAGGCAGCAGAGAGACAAGGGCUGAAAAACCACCUGUUGGACCCUAACUCACUACCUGAGUGACAAGAUGAUUCGUAUCCCAAACCUCUGAGUUAAGCAAUACACCUGUGUAACAAGUAAUAAUUGAUUUACAAAUAUAUGGAGUAGCUACCUCAGAAGUUGCAGCUGUUCCUUCUGUUUCUUUUGAUACAUCUUAACAUAAUUAUCUUUAUUUACAUUUUACAUUCAAUUAAUGAAGGCAUUUUAAUAAAAUGUAAAGAAAGUUUGUUCUUAAAUUUUGAUAAAAAUGCAAAAACUGACUUCAUGAUGCUCCUAUAUUACAUUGUUUUUUAUCCUUACC
rnacentral:lncRNA from 1 species